AUCUUAUUUAAAAACUUAAAUAUAAAAAUAGUUAUAUUCUUAUUGGAUCAUAUCGAUUCAAAAUAAAUGAUUUCCAAAUUGUUUUCACUCCUCUAUUCUUGAUUCUGUUACGUGGGCUGUAUGUACAUAAAUUAAUCUUGAUUCUGUCAUGUGGGUUGUCAUGUGGGUUGUAUGUACAUAAACGAAUCUUGAUUCUGUCAUGUGGGGUGUAUGUACAUAAACUAAUUGUUCAUUUGUUUUUUGCCUUGGCGAAUUCUUCAUCUCUCAUGUGGUCUCUCAAGGGAGGGAAAUAAACCAAUCGUACAUGUGUUUUUUUUAUUCUAUUAAUUGUUGAAUAACUGUCGAGGAAAUAGUGCUCCUUUUGCAUUUUAUUUACAUCUAUAUAUGAAUAUUCAAGGAUAGUUAGGAUUUUGUCAACAACCAUCUUAAGAUCAAUAUAAGAUAAUUAUAGAAAAAUAUAUCGUAACUUUAACAACCUCUAAAUUCAUCGUAAGAUAAUUAUAAUAAAAACAAUUACAACCGAAGAUAGAUCAAUAGAAAACAAACUACUACUACAAUCAUAAAGUCAAAUAAUAGAAAUAUAAAACAAACUACUACUGCAAUCAUAUAAAGUCAAAAACUACAGGAAUAAGAAAUCCAACUACUGCAACCAAACUACAAACCUAACUACAAUAACCCAAUUAAAGAAAUCAGAAACAUAAAAAUUGACCUUAAACUAAAGUGUCAUCAACCCCAAUAUGACACAAAUUUGGCUUUCAGUUUUGUGAUUGAUAUAUCCUCUCCAUCAAUUACAUUCAUGUAUUCUCUCAUACUAAGAUCAACAUGAAUUAUAAGAAAUUCAACUACUACAACCCAUAGUUCUGAAAGGCGCGCCUAGGCUCGGGGCGGCGCGACGCCACCCUUCGGCGCCUCGCCUGAAGGGAGGCGACGCCCCUUCACGAAGGUGCCGCUUAAGCGCGCAAGGCGCUCGCCUCCAGCAAGGCGCGAGGCGGUCGCCCGAGUCGCCUCCGACGGCCCGACCAGUGUCAAGGAUGUGAAAGACAUGGUCCGAUCUCGCUAAUCCCUGGACAUGGGGCUCCACUGAGCCAACAUCACUACACAGAGUCUUUUGGCAAAGAAAUUCAUGUUGAUCUUAGUAUGGGAGAAUACAGAGAUGUGAUUGAUGGAGAGGAGGUAUCAAUCACAAAGCUGAAAGCCAAAUUUGUGUCAUAUUGGGGUUGAUGACACUUUGGUUUAAGGUCGAUUUUUAUGUUUCUGAUUUCUUUAAUUGGGUUGCAGUAGUUGGAUUUCUUAUAAUUCAUGUUGAUCUUAGUACGAGAAAAUAUAGGGAUAUGGUUGAUGGAGAUGAUAUAUCAAUCACAAAGCUGAAAGCCAAAUUUCUGUCAUAUUGGGGUUGAUGACACUUUAGUUUAAGGUCGAUUUUUAUGUUUUUGAUUUAUUUACUUGGGUUGCUGUAGUUGGGUUUGUAGUUUGGUUGUAGUAGUUGAAUUUCUUAUUUCUAUAGUUUUUUACUUUAUGAUUGCAGUAGUAGUUUGUUUUCUAUUGAUUUGGCUUCGGUUGUAAUAGCUUUUGCUAUAAUUAUCUUACAUUGAAUUUAGAGGUUGUUGAAGUUAUGAUAUAUUUUUCUAUAAUUAUCUUA